CUGUGGGUCUGUGCCUGUGCUCCAUGGCUUCGCCACCGUCUAGCAUGCAUUCAGUUGAGCUCUGCCAGCCAAGCCGAUAACGACAACGACGUGCGCCCCCGUCCGAACUGUUGCCAGAGUAGUGCCCUGAGUGUCCGUCAGAAGUGGUUCGUGUCCGCGGUAGUACGGAAAGCAAAAGAAGCAACAGCCACCAACAGAAGCCACAGCCGCCACGCCACAGCCGCCGCAAGCCGCAGCCAAAACAAAAAUCAAGAAAACACGUUUUAACUCCCGCACAUUGAAAAACGCAUUUUUGCCCCAUAACUUGUUGGAGAAAUAGAAAGCAAAAAGUUCAUAAAUCAAGAAUUUCACAAUAUGCAAAAAUUUAAAUUCAAAUCAUAAUUUCCACAUCAAUUUCUUUGUGUGUGUUUCAUAAAUGAAUGUG